AGAGUUUGAUCCUGGCUCAGAACGAACGCUGGCGGCGUGCCUAAUACAUGCAAGUCGAGCGCGGGAAGCAAGUGAUCGCCCUUCGGGGCGUGAACUUGUGGAACGAGCGGCGGACGGGUGAGUAACACGUGGGCAACCUGCCUGUAAGACUGGGAUAACUCGCGGAAACGUGAGCUAAUACCGGAUAAUACCUUUUAUCUCAUGAUGAGAGGUUGAAAGGCGGCUUUUAGCUGUCACUUACAGAUGGGCCCGCGGCGCAUUAGCUAGUUGGUGAGGUAACGGCUCACCAAGGC
rnacentral:rRNA from 1 species